rfam:Otolemur garnettii contig057396, whole genome shotgun sequence.
GUACUCAGUCAGCAGCACAUACACUGAAAUUGGAACAAUACAGAGAAAGAUUAGCAUGGCCCCUGCACAAGGAUGACACGCGUUCAUGAAUUGUUGUUCCAUAUUUUU